rnacentral:lncRNA from 1 species
UGGAUGGAAUCGUGUAAGCAUAUGCAAAUUGCUUUUGUAGCAAAGUAGCAUAGGCUGUUCUCUGUCAUAAAUUGCCAAACUUUGUGUCACAUGACCCUGAGAAUUGACCAUGGUUCAACUGAUCAGGAAUUUGUAACUUCGCGAAGGCAAUUAUCUCUAGCUUUACCAAUGGGAUUUCCAGAGGCCUAAUGCAAGAAUUCCUCCCUGUGGGGGAGGUGACUCACUGAUCCAACCAAGGAUGUCUUACAAGCCUUUACCAGUGUGAGAAGCUCAAAAAGCUAUGGGACCAGAGUAGAAUUAGAAAAAAAGAAAAGAGGAGGUUGCUGCUGAAAUGGAGAGGCAGAAACAGAGAGAAAGAGAGUAGUUGAUUGUAAACAUGACACUGUCAUAGGAUUAAGGGGCCAAUGGUCCUUCUUCUCUGGGGAAGCUACGGUUACUUCCUGGUGACGCUCCAGGGUGCCAUGCAGCAGGCUGGGUAACUGCACAGAGUGAUGCCUUACUUCCUCAUUGCCUCACUAGCUGUCACAAUUGCUCACAUCACCUGAUAUCUUCUGAGCCUGACUCUGAUCCUUGCCACAGAAAGAGUCUAACUGAAGCGGUUGGAGAGGAGGGAGUGAAGAGGUGUGGCUGGAAGGAAUGGAUCAGCAAAAGCUUCACCAGGAUUUGGUGAGACCCAAGCGGAGUUCUGAAGUAUAGAGUCUUCCCUUGGGAAAGUGAAGCUUCCUAGAGUGAGGUGACCAGUGGCCUGUGGAAUGCUUUGCUUCUUGUGACUGUUAAUUCUGAUAUGUCAACUUCACCGGAAGAAAUGCCUAGCAGCUCCCCUGCUCUGCUUCUGGACAUUGUGAACUAAGCAGCUUUUCCAGCCUGCUGACUAUGGAUUGAAUCUCCUGAAACUAAAUACAUGAAUGUGGUAUAAAAAUAUUAGAGGAGCUUAUGAUGAAAAAACAACAAUCUUUCAACUUCCUUUCUCACCCCAGCCCCAUUCUCCAGAGGUACUCUCUUUUAUUCUCAGGCCUUCUAAUGAUUAG